rnacentral:rRNA from 1 species
AACGAACGCUGGCGGCAUGCCUAACACAUGCAAGUCGAACGAGACCUUCGGGUCUAGUGGCGCACGGGUGCGUAACGGGGGGAAACCGCCCCUUAGGUUGGAAAAAACUCCCGGAAGGGGGUGCAAAAACCGGAAAAGUUCUCGGGACAAAAUAUUUAUCGCCUUGGAAUGGGCCCGCGUUGGAUUGGCUAGUUGGUAGGGUAAAAGCCUACCAAGGCGACGAUCCAUAGCUGGUCUGAGAGGAUGAUCAGCCACACUGGGACUGAGACACGGCCCAGACUCCUACGGGAGGCAGCAGUGGGGAAUAUUGGACAAUGGGCGAAAGCCUGAUCCAGCAAUGCCGCGUGAGUGAUGAAGGCCUUAGGGUUGUAAAGCUCUUUUACCCGGGAUGAUAAUGACAGUACCGGGAGAAUAAGCUCCGGCUAACUCCGUG